rnacentral:lncRNA from 1 species
CUUAUCAUCUCCCACAGAUCAGGCGCUCCCCCACCUGUUGGAUCAUACCCUAUGGCUAGAUAUCUUCCUCAGGAGGAGACUCUUGCACAUUGGAAAACCGACACAUUAGAGUCAAGAUCUUCCUUGCAGAACUAGGAGGAGGUUUUUGUUCCAAGGGACCUGUCCUCAAAUGUGGGACUUGAUGAAAGAAACAGGGUCAUUUGUCAAACUGCGGCUGCUGCUCCUGCCCCUCCUCCUCUUGUACACAGUAAUGAACAGCCUGGGAAAAAAUUAUUCCCUUUCCAAAGGAUCUGCAAAGAGGAAGAGUUGAUGAUAAUGGCCAUGAGAAGUAAGGGAGUUGUGCAUGGAUCACUUCCCAGGACACAAAGGCUGUCUGUACACAUUGCACCCAGGAAAUUAGGCUAAUCAACACCUGCUUACAAGGACAGCGAAAAGCGUCUCCUCUUGAGACUGGUGAGACUGUGGUCUUUGCUUCUUGUUUCCUGAGGCAAGUUGCUGAGCAGAAUAUCCAAGCAAUGUGGUGACUGUUUCCACUAGACUGUCUGAAGCCAUGGGGAGUUGCUCCUCAAAGGAAUGAGGACUUGAGCCUUGCAUUGUUCAUUAUAAAACCAACUUGUCAUUCGGCCAAAAGACAAAGGCAGGGACAAAGCGACAACAUCACAUAAAAGUUGCAGAGAACAUUUUCAUGGUAGAAACUUCAACUGCUGUGGAAUGUACUCCAUGGGGGCAAGUACCCACUGUGCUCUGCCGACUGAUGAUAAGUGGUUUGUGGGACCUCUUGGUGAGAAAAUGAAUGAACUUUUCAGCUAGAAGUUUGAUGGUAAAGUAAAUGGUGGUGCAUGAAAUAUCUGAGGUUUGGUAGUCGGUCAGGUUUGUGACAGUUUUGGAAAAAGCUAGAAAAUAGCUUUGUAAAUUCAGUUUGGUCAUUUCACUUUAGCUCUAAUUAUUUUAUCAGCCAAAGCAAGCUGGUCCAUCAGUUUGGAAAGGAAUAAAGUGACAUUG